UACGAAGGGGGCUAGCGUUGUUCGGAAUCACUGGGCGUAAAGCGCACGUAGGCGGAUCUUUAAGUCAGGGGUGAAAUCCCGGGGCUCAACCUCGGAACUGCCUUUGAUACUGGGGAUCUCGAGUCCGGGAGAGGUGAGUGGAACUGCGAGUGUAGAGGUGAAAUUCGUAGAUAUUCGCAAGAACACCAGUGGCGAAGGCGGCUCACUGGCCCGGAACUGACGCUGAGGUGCGAAAGCGUGGGGAGCAAC
rnacentral:rRNA from 1 species